rnacentral:rRNA from 1 species
UCGAGGAUCAUUUGCAAUGGGCGCAAGCCUGACAAUGCGACGCUGCGUGGAGGAUGACGGCCUUCGGGUUGUAAACUCCUGUCGUCCGGGAACAAUAUCGGGAGGGUUAAUAACCCUGCCGGUCGAUGGUACCGGAAAAGGAAGUCACGGCUAACUCUGUGCCAGCAGCCGCGGUGAUACAGAGGUGGCUAGCGUUGUUCGGGUUUACUGGGCGUAAAGGAUGCGUAGGUGGCUUUGUAUGUCAGAUGUGAAAUUUCAUUGCUCAACGAUGAAAGUGCAUUUGAAACUACUUGGCUUGAGUAUAGGAGAGGAGCAUGGAAUUCUUGGUGUAGCGGUGAAAUGCGUAGAUAUUAGGAGGAACACCGGUGGCGAAGGCGGCUUUCUGGACUGACACUGACGCUGAGGCACGAAAGCGUGGGGAGGAAACA